CGCCCCCCCCCCCACGAAAUCACAUUUUGUCCCCCCCCCCGGAAAAGUCUCUUUUUCCUAAAUUUAUACAAACAAACCAGCGAAGAAUAACAAAUUGAUAAACGGAACGUACGUUUUAGGCUCUAUCCUUUGUCCUUGUUUAACAAAAUCGAUUUAAAGGACUGUGUCACCGCGUGCGCAUCCUACGUGUUUCUAACACUAAGUAAUGAUAAAUUAUUGUUAAUAUUUUUAAAAUUCUUUGUGCGUUUUUUCCUUCUUUUAUUUCAAAUAGAAGUAUAGUUAGGAUAAAUUUUAGAAAAUUUAGAUGCUCAGACGGCAGGAAAUGGCAUUUUUGGGCUUGAAAUUUCAAAAAUUUUCUGGGGAGUUAAUGCCUCCAGACCCCCCUAUUCAUUCGCGGUAUGUCGGCCACACACGUGACCCACGGCCAUUGCUAUCCCCCUUUAAUAAUAAGUAAUGGAUAAAUUAUUGUUAAUAUUUCUUUUAUUUUUUCUGCAUUUUUUCCUUCUUUUAUUUCAAAUACAAGUAUAAUUAGCAUAAAUUUUAGAGCAAAUUUAGACGCUCAUAAAGCAGGAAAUGGUAUUUGAAAGGUUCAAAUUUAAAACAUUUUCUGGGGGAGUAUGUCGGCCACACACCGUGGCCGUCGGCCAUUGCUAUCCCCCUCUAAUAUAUUAUCUAAAAUCCCUUUUCAAAAAAUACCCCCCCCCGGGAAAAUCCUUAAAAAGGCCCUGUUGUUCUGUAUUUCGGUCUCGGAACUGUCGUAUGUCGUCACGGUAUAAGUUAACUGUGUAGUUCGUAUAUUUGCCUAGCCACAUGUUGUGAUUGAGGCUAUGUGAGGAUUGUAAGUUUAUCACCUAGUACUAUUUUAAGUAGAUGCAGUUAGUGAGUUAGGUUUUGUGCAUGCUCACAGGGUUUUGAAAGCAAACCAUGCCGUGAAAUAUGUGAAGCCUAUGGUUUGUGUCAUGUAUCUAACUAUCUAGGUAGAAUACCUAAAAGUAGAUGUUGUACAAACUACAAAGUUGUGGUUUAUAGAAUCUGGCAGACCUCCCCCGCCCCCUGUCUCCUAUUUCCUCC